rnacentral:rRNA from 1 species
GCAUAUCAAUAAGCGGAGGAAAAGAAACCAACAGGGAUUGCCCCAGUAACGGCGAGUGAAGCGGCAACAGCUCAGAUUUGGAAUCUGGCCCCCAGGGCCCGAGUUGUAAUCUGGAGAGGAUGCUUCUGGCGCGGCGCCUUCCGAGUUCCCUGGAACGGGACGCCGGAGAGGGUGAGAGCCCCGUACGGUUGGACGCCUAGCCUUUGUGAAGCUCCUUCGACGAGUCGAGUAGUUUGGGAAUGCUGCUCAAAAUGGGAGGUAAAUUUCUUCUAAAGCUAAAUACCGGCCAGAGACCGAUAGCGCACAAGUAGAGUGAUCGAAAGAUGAAAAGCACUUUGAAAAGAGGGUCAAACAGUACGUGAAAUUGUUGAAAGGGAAGCGCCCGUGGCCAGACUUGUGCCCCGCGGACCACCCGGCGCCCUCAGCGCCGGUGCACUCCGCGGGGCGCAGGCCAGCAUCGGUUUUCCUAGGGGGAUAAAGGCGGCGGGAACGUGGCUCCUUCGGGAGUGUUAUAGCCCGUCGUGCCAUGCCCCUGGGGGGACCGAGGACCGCGCUUCGGCAAGGAUGCUGGCGUAAUGGCCACCGGCGACCCGUCUUGAAACACGGACCAAGGAGUCAAGCAUUGGGGCGAGUGUCUGGGUGCCAAACCCGCACGCGAAAUGAAAGUGAACGCAGGUGAGAGCUUCGGCGCAUCAUCGACCGAUCCUGAUGUUCUCGGAUGGAUUUGAGUAAGAGCCUUACCGCUUGGACCCGAAAGAUGGUGAACUAUGCCUGUAUAGGGUGAAGCCAGAGGAAACUCUGGUGGAGGCUCGCAGCGGUUCUGACGUGCAAAUCGAUCGUCAAAUAUGGGCAUGGGGGCGAAAGACUAAUCGAACCAUCUAGUAGCUGGUUACCGCC